rnacentral:rRNA from 1 species
GACGAACGCUGGCGGCGUGCUUAACACAUGCAAGUCGAACGGAAAGGCCCUGCUCUUGUGGGGUGCUCGAGUGGCGAACGGGGGAGUAACACGUGAGUAACCUGCCCUUGACUUUGGGAUAACUUCAGGAAACUGGGGCUAAUACCGGAUAGGAGCUCCUGCUGCAUGGUGGGGGUUGGAAAGUUUCGGCGGUUGGGGCUGGACUCGCGGCUUAUCAGCUGGUUGGUGGGGUAGUGGCUUACCAAGGCUUUGACGGGUAGCCGGCCUGAGAGGGUGACCGGCCACAUUGGGCCUGAGAUACGGCCCAGACUCCUACGGGAGGCAGCAGUGGGGAAUAUUGCACAAUGGGCGGAAGCCUGAUGCAGCAACGCCGCGUGCGGGAUGACGGCCUUCGGGUUGUAAACCGCUUUCGCCUGUGACGAAGCGUGAGUGACGGUAAUGGGUAAAGAAGCACCGGCUAACUACGUG